GGGCGAUUAGCUCAGCUGGUUAGAGCGUUACAUUGACAUUGUAAAGGUCACAGGUUCGAGUCCUGUAUCGCCCACAA
rnacentral:tRNA from 1 species